rnacentral:lncRNA from 1 species
GCCCCACCUCAGACCUACUGAGUUGGAAAUUCUGGGAGCGGGGCUUGACAAUCUGUUUUAACUAGGCCUCCAGGGGACUCAGACACAAGAUACAGUUUGAUAACUAUUGCUUAAUUGACGGCUGAAUGGUGAGGGAUGCCAAGAUAAUUCAAUGAAGAAUGAAUAGUCUUUCAACAAAUGGUGCUGGGACAACUGGAUAUCCACGUGCAAAAGAAUGAAAUUGGAACCCACCUUCAUCAUACACAAAAGUUAACUCAAAGUGGAUCAAAGAUCUAAAUUUUUUAUACGCUAGUCCCCAAGCAAUUGUGUGGUAGUGGCAGUGACAGCAGUGGCAACAAGGACUCAUAGAAGCCUAAAACUCUGAGAGAGGGGGAAACCUCCUCUCCUGUCAGAAGAGAUGUGGUCCCAAAGGGGGCUUUGGUUUUACAGGCAUGGAAGUACCAACAAAGAGGUGUUUGUGCAGAAGCUGUAGGAUUUCUUCUUCAAUCACCUUCAUCCAUGAAGAGGCCCAGAUGAUGCCCAAAGCAGGAAGAUGCCAGGCAAAAUGGUCACAUGUUCAGACUCUGGAGAUUUAGACAGUGUCAUUCUAAACAAGAUUCUUCUUAGAGUUUUGUCAGUUUGGGGUCUGAACAAAGAUAUGCUCAGAAUCGAAAGCACAGAUAUUCUUGGGUUUUUACAGUCACAAAUUAUAAUGAUAAUUCAUGUUUCAGGAAGCACCUCAAUUUCUCUCUUAGGUUGUGAAAUCCUUCGGUGCCUUCAGGCAAAAGAGGUCGACAUGAAUUAGUCUUGAUUGGUUUGGGACACUGAAAUGAUUCUGGGACAGCAGAGGAAUGCUUGGCACCAAUGUUUCCCAAAUUGAUGCCACAGAACAAUAAUCCCAAAAGCUAUUGAGAGAGGGGGAGGGAGCGAAAGAGGGAGAGGUAGGGAGAAGAGAAGGAAAUAUAGUCUGGAAAACUGGAAAACGCCACAUGUUCUAUUUUUCUCUUGGAGAUUCCCAAUGCAUAUUAAUAUAUUAAUGCCCUGAGAAAUUUCACAGAAAGAAUUCUAUUUGCCUCU